rnacentral:lncRNA from 1 species
UGGGUUUCGUGGGAGUUUUCGCUGCUCGGUGUGUUUUGCUUUGCGGACUUGUGUUAACACGAUUCUCUAUGAAAUAUUCCAGGAGGAAACUUUCCAGAGUUGGUGAACUUGUCCCAGAGUUACACAGAUUAAGAAAAUGUUCCUGCAUAGAAGAGAUGCCAGUAACGUAGAAGGAAUGAAAUGACAAUGCCUGGAAAGCUUUGUGGUGCCGCAGGAUUUGAGAAAGAUUGACUAGGUUUCUUACGGGAUCAGCCACAGAAGACUGAACCUGUGGCUCUCUAUGGUCCUGGACUGUCAGCACUGCCGGAACCACCGUGAUGUUUAAUAGUGUUUCCAGGGGAAACUUCUUUUCCUUGCCAGAGUUGUGAGCUUCUAGUCUACCCAGAAUUAAAUUCUGAUGGCUGUCUCAGGUAGCCACUUACAAAAAGGAGUGUUUGUAAGUAGGUUAUUUAUAAAUAGCAUGCCUCCUAUUUAUGGAUCUUAAAUGCCAAGCAUAUUUGGAAUUCCUUCUGACCUCACCUAGUUUCUCAAUGCCAGCCUCUUACAGAGAUGGAGAGGGGGUUCUGCAUAACCACAAGAAACCCCUCUCCUUUGUAAGUAUAGAUUACCUUUUAAUUGACUUCUCUAACUUUCCACCAGCUGUUUUAGAGUAACAGGCACAAUUUACAUCUGAAAGUUUAUUUUUCCUUAAAAUAUACAUGUGUUUAUCAUAUCUUGAACCGGAACUUCAAAAGGGAAAUUUGGCUCUGUGGGUACCAUGGUAUAUAUCAUAAAAUAUUAAGUGCACAGUGACAUUUCCAAAUUUUAAAUAACAAUUAAUAGCAUGAAAUAAUUUACUCCUUAGCGAUGUAAGAACCUCUAAGAUCAGAUCUCCACCAACUUUCCCACCUUUUUAUUUCCACCACCCAAACUGAACCAUUUACUAUUCUUCUUUCAUACAUGAGUUUCCUAUUCUCAGUGCUGGAUUUGUGGCUUGCUUUCCCUCUGCCUAGAAUACCCUCCCUCUGCUGCUCAAACUUGAUCUCCCUUUAAAUUCUCAGAUGCCAUACCCCUUUGAAAUUCUCUCCUGGCAGUCUGGCUGGGUGAUCUUUCUUUUCCCCUGGCGCCGCAUCUCUUUUGUGAACUGUUUUUCUGUCUUGUACUAUUAUUCUUACACGCAUGAGUUAUUGCCCCUGGUUCUCUAUAAGAUCCUUGAUAAUGUUAUUUCUUACAGUUAACUCAGUGCCUUGUUCUAUACAUAAGAAUCAUAUAUAUUUGAUGUAUUAAUAAAUGAAGAGUAUAAUCCCUUAUAUGACUUGUGUGUGUAGAGCACAAAGUUUGGAAAAUAUCCUGAGCUAGAAACUUACAAGGCGGCGAUUUAAAAGAAAGCUCUGAUUCCUCCCAGUUUGCAGUGUUCUUCUUUGUGUGGAAUAGGGCUUUAUGGAAACCAAGGAGAAUCUCAUAGAAUGCGCGGGCCUUUUCAAAGAGACCCUACUGUGUUCAAUUUGCCUUAGAUUUUGAAGUUAUGGUUGACUAAAUCCAGGGCCUUAGGUAGUGCGAUUAAAGUAAACAGGAUUAAGUGCUCUGUUCUCCAGGCCAAUUUUAUGAUAUGUGGGGCUUCUCUGCGGGUUUCUUUUCUGUUCAGGCACUGGGUGUGAACAACUUCUGAAGACUGCUCAGUGCCCACCAGACAGCAGGAGUGACAGGACUCCUGCUGCAGCCACAGCUGAGGUUGUAAAUGACACCGUGCAGUUGUGAGCCGGGCCCUCUUUUAAAUGAUUACUCUCAAUGUAUGCACCCUCCGAAGGAAACUGUAAUCCAGCCCAGCUAAGAAUAGUCUCCGUGUUCACUGAGCUGGGCUUCUCCCUGCUCUUUGAAAUGUCUUCUCCUUUGUGUCUCUACUUCUCACCUGCAAAGCCUGGCACACUGGGGAGUACUACUUGCCAUGAAAAGAAAGAAUCCCAUAUAUGAGGCUGACUACUCAACUCACAUUUCCCAGGCCCCACAUAAAGGGCGUAGGCACACCUCACGCCCAUUAGGAUAGCUACUGUCAAAAAAAGAGAAAACAAGUGUUAGCCAGGAUGUGGAGAAAUUGGAACCCUGUGCACUGUGGGUGGGGUUGUAAAGUGGUACAAUCACUAUGGAAAAGAGAAUGGUGGUGUUAUGGACUGAGAUGUGUCUCCCCCAAAUUCCUAUGUUGCAGCCCUAACCCCCAAUGUGAUUGGAGAUAGGGCCUUUAAGGAGGAAAUUAACGCUAAGUUAGAGUAGAGCCAAAGUCCAAUAGGACUAGUGUCCUUAUAAGAAGAAGACACCAGGAGUGCGCACGCACAGAGAGAAAGCCGUACGAGGACACUGUGAAUAGGUAGCUGUCUGCAAGCCAAGGAGAGAGGUCUCACCGGAAACCAAUCCUGCCUGCACCUUGAUCUCGGACUUCCAGACUCCAGAAGAGUGAGAAAAUAAAUUUCUGUUGUUUAAGCUGCCCAGUCUGUGGCAUUUUGUUAUGGCAGCCCUAGCAAACUAACACAGACGGUUCCUCAAAAAAUUAAAAAUAGGGGCCAGCCCCGUGGCCAAGUGGUUAAGUUUGCAUGCUCUGCUUCAGUGGCUGGGGGUUCAGAUCCUGGGCACAGACCUAAACACCACUCAUGAAGCCAUGCUGUGGCAGCGUCCCACAUAGAAGAACUAGAAUGACUUACAACUAGGAUGUGCAACUAUGUGCUGGGGCUUUGAGGAGAAAAAAAAAAAAGAGGAAGAUUGGCAACAGAUGUUAGCUCAGGGCCAAUCUUCCUCAACAAAAAGCAAAAAUAAAUAAAAAAAAUAAAAAACAGAACUACUGUAUGAUUUAGCAACUCUCCUUCUGGAUAUAUACCCAAAAGAAUUGAAAGCAGUGUCUCGAAAAGACAUUUGUACACCUAUGUUCAUAGCCACGCUAUUCACAAUAGCCAAGAGGUAAGAGCAACCCAAAUGUUCAUCAACAGAUGAAUGGAUAAACAAAAUGUGGAAUAUCCAAAUAAUGGAAUAUCCAUGCUCAUAGACCACCCCCCACCCACACUGCACCUCC